rnacentral:rRNA from 1 species
UAAGGAAUAUUGGACAAUGGUCGCAAGACUGAUCCAGCCAUGCCGCGUGCAGGAAGACGGCCCUAUGGGUUGUAAACUGCUUUUGUACCAGAGAAAACCUAUCUACGUGUAGAUAGCUGAUAGUAUGGUAAGAAUAAGCAUCGGCUAACUUCGUGCCAGCAGCCGCGGUAAGACGAAGGAUGCAAGCGUUAUCCGGAUUCAUUGGGUUUAAAGGGUGCGUAGGCGGGCUUGUAAGUCAGUGGUGAAAUCUCUCAGCUUAACUGAGAAACUGCCAUUGAUACUGCAGGCCUAGAGUAUAGAUGACGUUGGCGGAAUGUGACAUGUAGUGGUGAAAUACUUAGAUAUGUCAUAGAACACCGAUUGCGAAGGCAGCUAACGAAACUAUAACUGACGCUGAGGCACGAAAGUGCGGGGAUCAAACA